rnacentral:rRNA from 1 species
GGCGAGUGAAGCGGCAAAAGCUCAAAUUUGAAAUCUAGCACCUUCGGUGUUUGAGUUGUAAUUUGAAGAUGGUAACCUUGGGUUUGGCUCUUGUCUAUGUUCCUUGGAACAGGACGUCAUAGAGGGUGAGAAUCCCGUCUGAUGAGAUGCCCAUUCCUAUGUAAGGUGCUAUCGAAGAGUCGAGUUGUUUGGGAAUGCAGCUCUAAGUGGGKGGUAAAUUCCAUCUAAAGCUAAAUAUUGGCGAGAGACCGAUAGCGAACAAGUACAGUGAUGGAAAGAUGAAAAGAACUUUGAAAAGAGAGUGAAAAAGUACGUGAAAUUGUUGAAAGGGAAGGGCAUUAGAUCAGACUUGGUGUUUUACGAUUAUCUUCUCUUCUUGAGUUGUGCACUCGUAUUUCACUGGGCCAGCAUCGAUUCGGAUGGCAAGAUAAUGGCAGUUGAAUGUGGSUUCACUUCGGUGGAGUGUUAUAGCUUCUGCUGAUAUUGCCUGUCUGGAUCGAGGGCUGCGUCUUUUGACUAGGAUGCUGGCGUAAUGAUCUAAUGCCGCCCGUCUUGAAAC